rnacentral:tRNA from 1 species
GGAUCUGUAGCUCAGUCGGUAGAGCGCCACGUUUACACCGUGGAUGUCGUCGGUUCGAGCCCGGCCGGAUCCA